GAUGUAGCUUAUUUGGUAGAACAUCAGACUUAUGAUCAAAGGGUUGUGGGUUUGAUACCCACCAGACCA